rnacentral:rRNA from 1 species
UACAGAGGGUGCGAGCGUUGUUCGGAAUUACUGGGCAUAAAGGGUGCGUAGGCGGCUUGUUAAGUCAGGGGUGAAAGUUUUCGGCCCAACCGGAAAAUUGCCUUUGAUACUGGCGAGCUCGAGUGCGUGAGGGGUAACCGGAACGAGCAGUGUAGCGGUGAAAUGCGUAGAUAUUGCUCGGAAGGCCAACGGCGAAGGCAGGUUACUGGUACGCAACUGACGCUGAUGCACGAAAGCGUGGGGAGCAAACAGG